rnacentral:rRNA from 1 species
UUCCGUAGGUGAACCUGCGGAGGGAUCAUUACUGA